rnacentral:rRNA from 1 species
GACGAACGCUGGCGGCGUGCUUAACACAUGCAAGUCGAACGGAAAGGCCCUGCUUUUGUGGGGUGCUCGAGUGGCGAACGGGUGAGUAACACGUGAGUAACCUGCCCUUGACUUUGGGAUAACUUCAGGAAACUGGGGCUAAUACCGGAUAGGAGCUCCUGCUGCAUGGUGGGGGUUGGAAAGUUUCGGCGGUUGGGGAUGGACUCGCGGCUUAUCAGCUUGUUGGUGGGGUAGUGGCUUACCAAGGCUUUGACGGGUAGCCGGCCUGAGAGGGUGACCGGCCACAUUGGGACUGAGAUACGGCCCAGACUCCUACGGGAGGCAGCAGUGGGCAAUAUUGCACAGUGGGCGGAAGCCUGAUGCAGCAACGCCGCGUGCGGGAUGACGGCCUUCGGGUUGUAAACCGCUUUCGCCUGUGACGAAGCGUGAGUGACGGUAAUGGGUAAAGAAGCACCGGCUAACUACGUG